rnacentral:rRNA from 1 species
AACGAACGCUGGCGGCGUGGAUUAGGCAUGCAAGUCGAACGGGAUUCUUUGGGUAGCAAUAUCACGAGAGUUCAGUGGCGAAAGGGUGAGUAACACGUGGGCAAUCUACCUCAAAGUUGGGAAUAACCCGGGGAAACCUGGGAUAAUUCCGAAUGUGGUCGCCUCCGGCAUCGGAGGCUGUCUAAAGUCGGGGACCGCAAGGCCUGACGCUAUGAGAUGAGCCCGCGUCCUAUCAGCUUGUUGGUGAGGUAACGGCUCACCAAGGCUUACGGGUAGCUGGUCUGAGAGGACGAUCAGCCACACUGGGACUGAGACACUGCCCAGACUCCUACGGGAGGCUGCAGUCGAGAAUCAUUCGCAAUGGGCGCAAGCCUGACGAUGCGACGCCGCGUGCAGGAUGAAGGCCUUCGGGUUGUAAACUGCUGUGAUGGGGGAGCAAUGAGCGAAGUGUUAAUAACACUGCGCAGUGAUAGUACCCCAAGAGGAAGCCACGGCUAACUCUGUG